rnacentral:rRNA from 1 species
UCUAAGAUUGCAAAGCCUCUUUCCAACCUCCUCCAGAAGCAUGUGAAGUACGUCUGGUCUCCUGAGUGUGACGUUGCUUUGAACACUCUCAAAGAGAAACUCGUCACAGCUCUUGUCUUAACUCCUCCUGACGAAUCCAAGCCAUUUGAAGUUUUCUGUGAUGCUUCUCUUCAAGGUCUCGGUGCGGUGUUAAUGCAAGAGAAGAAAGUUGUUGCCUAUACCUCUCGUCAGUUGAAGCCCAACGAAAAGAACUACCCCACUCACGAUCUUGAGUUGGCGGCAGUUGUCCAUGCAUUAAUAGCAUGGAGACAUCUCUUGUUGGGAAGACAAGUGGACAUAUUCACCGAUCACAAGAGUCUCAAGUACAUCUUCACUCAGCCCAAC